GAUCCUGGCUCAGAUUGAACGCUGGCGGAAUGCUUUACACAUGCAAGUCGAACGGUAGAGGGGGCAACCCCUUGAGAGUGGCGAACGGGUGAGUAAUAUAUCGGAACGUGCCCAGUCGUGGGGGAUAACGUAGUGAAAAUUACGCUAAUACCGCAUACGAUCUAAGGAUGAAAGCGGGGGACCGUAAGGCCUCGCGCGAUUGGAGCGGCCGAUAUCAGAUUAGGUAGUUGGUAGGGUAAAGGCCUACCAAGCCAACGAUCUGUAGCUGGUCUGAGAGGACGACCAGCCACACUGGAACUGAGACACGGACCAGACUCCUACGGGAGGCAGCAGUGAGGAAUAUUGGUCAAUGGUCGGAAGACUGAACCAGCCAUGCCGCGUGCAGGAAGACGGUCCUAUGGAUUGUAAACUGCUUUUAUACAGGAAGAAACCCUCUCACGAGUGGGAGCUUGACGGUACUGUAUGAAUAAGCAUCGGCUAACUCCGUG
rnacentral:rRNA from 1 species